ensembl:miRNA Mir3969 microRNA 3969
AAAUGGAUUUCCCCUAAAGUAGAAAUCACUAUAUAGUUGUAUGUUUAUAGAGGAGUAGAAUUUAGAUUAGCUACUUACAGGGCUUCAGAUCU